AUGGCGCUCUCCAGCCUGCUGUGGGCCCUGGUGGCCUUCACUUGCUCUGGAUCCAGUGUGGCCCAGAAAGUUACUCAAGACCAGCCAGAUAUAUCAGCACAAGAAGAGUCGGCAGCCACCUUCAACUGUCAGUAUGAAACAACUUGGAUUAACUACUAUCUUUUCUGGUACAAGCAGCUUCCUGACGGAAAGAUCACUUACAUUAUUCAUCAGUAUUCUUCUGAUAAAAAUGCAGUAAAGGGUCGCUAUUUCAUAAACUUCGUGAAAGCAGACAAAUCCAUCUCCCUCACCAUUUCACCCUUACAACUGGAAGAUUCAGCAACGUAUUUCUGUGCUCUCAGUGAUGCACUGUGUUUGAAGUGA